UCCCUCGAGCCGGAUUUGAACCAGCCUCCUAAGGAUCACCGUUGUAACAUCUACAGUCCUCCGCUCUGCCAACUGAGCUAUCGAGGG